CUGGUCGAUUUGGUACGCUAAGCGCCUACAAGAAGAGUUUUCCAUGUUAAAUACGAAGAAGAAAGAAAGGUCUGCCAUUUUCAUAUCUUCCCUCUGUCUCCCCUCCAUGGCUUCUACUCCUCCACAGGAAUCUCAGGUGGCUUUUCCCCUCCUACUCCUCCUCAACUAAGGUCCCAGGUGUAGCUCUAUUUUCUCCAUUUUCAUCUCCGCUGCAGAUUGGCGGAUCUCCUCCGCGACCACCACCUAAAUUUCAAUCUCUCAGAUUGAUGCCGCCCCCUUCACAGGGUCUCCAUUUGGAUAGCCUCUAUCUCACAGUCAUCACUGUGCCUCUCUAAUGGAUCUGCCAACGAUGCAAUUUGGAGUGGAUGGAACCCAACUAGAUAGCUUGACUGGGACACAACCAUCGCUAUAAGUCAAUGUACAUGGGAAAAAUCUAUUUGAGGAAUAUUGUACUGAUGUUAGAUCGAGGAAUAUUG